UCUGGUCAGAGCUAUCCAGAAGUGAGUGGAAUAAACCUUUACGUUUUAAGUAAAUACAUUUCAAAGUUUUGAGCAUUGUUCAUGCAUCAUAAAUGCCAUGUGAUGAAUUAGGUUGCUUGCAUUAGAAUUCACAAAUAUGUUGCAUUGCACAUUUGAUGUUGAUGUGGAUGAAUGUUGAAUGAUCCAUAGCCCUCGAUCUAUGAUAUGACGAUAUGAUAUGUACGGUA
rnacentral:lncRNA from 1 species